rnacentral:rRNA from 1 species
GACAGAGGGUGCAAACGUUGUUCGGAAUUACUGGGCGUAAAGCGCGUGUAGGCGGCCCUGCAAGUCGGAUGUGAAAUCCCACGGCUCAACCGUGGAAGUGCAUUCGAAACUGCAGGGCUAGAGUCCUGGAGAGGAAGGUGGAAUGCUUGGUGUAGAGGUGAAAUUCGUAGAUAUCAAGCGGAACACCGAUGGCGAAGGCGGCACUCUGGGCCGGAACUGACGCUGAGGAGCGAAAGCGUGGGGAGCGAACAGG